UCAAGUUUUUGGAGAUCAUAAGUGUUGAAUAAAAACCCCAUGAUAGAGGUCAGCAUAAAUAACAUGAAGAUUAGAUUGCACGGAUAUUAACCCUUGUGUGCAGGAAGACAACAAGGGCUGGAGACUGAAAAAACAAGUAACAUAGGAGGCAAGAUGUCAGGUAAUAAAAUAAACCUCAGGUAGGACAAUCUGGGGUGAUGGGGUUAUCCAAACUGCAGCCCCUUCAGAUACUGGUAGACAACAACUCCCAGCAUCCCUCCUAUUGGAGAGGCUAAGAGUUGUAGUUGAGCAACAGCUGGAAGGCUACAGGCUGAAAUCACUGAAGUAUAUACUGAUAACAAUCCAGCAAUUGCACCAAGAGCCACAGCAAAUGCCCCCCUUCUGCUCUACUUCACUGGUCCCAAACAUUCAAUUUACAAUGACUAGAAGGCAGCAAUGGGAGACGCGCAGAGUGCGCCCAGGGGUGUGCGACUCAUACAUUUGUACAGAAGAGAAUUAGCGCUGAUAUUUGCGCUCACACUGACAGACACAGCAGUGAUACAUGGGCGGGGCAGUUUCAAACAAAUUGGGGUUAUGAUCAAGAGAACAUGAUGUUUUAUGGGGACACAGUGAAGCAAUGGUAAUCAAUGGUAAUACUACGAAUGCGCAAAAAUAAAUAUUCCGCACGGAGGGGAGAAAGCGAAUCUCUGGUUUUCAUUCAACAGAUGAAACGCAAAGAGACAGAGGAGACGGCGUGACACUGAUAUCACAAGCGAUCAAAACACAAUUUCCCAUUGUUUAUUUCUAUAAAACCCCAACAGAUCGCGGUUUCCCCUAUGGAAUUUCCUCUAUCGUGAAAAAAAGAAAAGCUGGACUAGUCUAGCAGAGAGUCGAGACUAUAACUAGUGGUGAUUGGAGUGCCACGAUGCCCGUCUCAGAGCAGCACGAGAGCCAAAUAGGACUGUCUCCUGCAGCGCUCGCUAUUUAUCCUAUGAUAUUGUUUCCCUGCAGCGCACACGCAUGAGUCUGCACCUUACAACAUAGCGCCGUGUCUCUUGCAACGCACAAAGCGCUCAAAGUUAAUCCUGAUGUGCAAUGAGUUGUUCAUUGGAAAGGCUCUCCUAUAAUGAUCACCAUGAUAAAUGUGCAGCCACGAGGACAACAGUCUGCGCCUUAGGUGAUGAGAUAGCGCCGGACUUGGACGCCGCGCAGAAUAGUGAUCUGUAUUAUGAGCAGAUGUGAACCUGCACGAACUCUAAUCCAAAACUGAUGGACUGUAUGUGUAUGGCAGCAGCCUCCCUGCACUGCACAAUGGAGCAUCUCUCAAAUCAGUAUUCGGCACCCAUAGCUCAAGUGUGCGCCUCACCGGCUCUCUAUCCGAACCUAAUAACAGUAGUAAUGACUGUGCAUACACUAUCAGCGCUAUCCUGCCAAUGGGAAGCUCAUUCCUUAUUUCUCAUGAACUUUUUAGCGCUUUGUGCGCGUUAUUUCACUGAAGUUGACUUGGGGUCAUUAAUGAAAGUGACAACACUGUAUGUGCACAACUAAACCAGCAAUGGGGUUGUUUUAUCAGAGCAAGAGGAAAGAAACAAACAUGUAGCCAGCGCAAGUGCGACUUUCCGAAGCCUGUGCAAUGUUAGCAAAUCAACACAACGGUGACGUCAGCCGGCGCUUGUUGGCACGUGAUGCUCUCUCCCCAUGCUGGAGCGGCCGGCCGCCAUACUUACUCCUGGCUAAGAAGGCACGGAAGACACAAACCUCCAUUAAAUUGCUGAAUUGCAUAUGGACGAUCCAAUGGUCCGGUUUUAAAUUUUGUAUAUUCGACGAGCAUUGCUCUCUUGGAGUGAGGCAUGGUGAGAUAAGUCUUGUGCCCACCUUUUCCCCAAAUGAGUUUUAUGUGAGGCCGGAUAAAUUAGAGACAGAGACUGAUAAAAAUCAGGUAAUAAUGCGCUAAUGUGUACAUAAAUGUCCCGUAUGCAUGGGGGUAUUUAAUGCAUGUUUGAGUCGCAGGUUUGAGAGCAUUUAAAUGCAUCAGUUAAAAGAUUCCCUUGUAUUCUGCUUGUUUGUAUCCAUGGUUGUUCAGAAUUGUGUUUAAUUGCAACUAAGAUUCACUAUGGUUUUUUUUUAGACGCAACAUGCUUUUGACGCGUGUUCAUAAUGCUUGAAUAGAGAGAUGACUAAGAUGCCUAAGAUGCCCGUGAACUCGAUAUAUGCAUGUCUACUCAUUCAGCUUGCAUUUUUUAACACACAAAAAAGCCUAUGCGUAGAGACCAAAAAGAGUCAAUAAACAAGAUUGAUAUAAAUGAAGGGGGGACUGAAAAAAUGCUAUUAGGUUUGCUAUUUGGUGGGGGAUAUCUAUUAUUUUAUUAAUUCUGGAUAAUGUACUUUUUAUUAUAUUCUUGUAAUGUCAACAACUGUAUUUUAAUUUUGUAUAUCCUAAUAAAUCCUGGGUGAGGCAGGUUUGCAUAA